ACAACACAAACUGUCAUACCUCUUGAAAUCCAAGAUUAGCAGAGUGGAUACGGCAUUGUUAAAGCACUGAACGCUAUGGAGGCCUCGUCCUUAUUUACACAAAACAGUUAGCGAAAAAUUCCACUAAGUAUUGAAAAGAAUUUACCUGAAGUACAACCACACUAGAAGAAAAACUGAGAAGUCUCCUCACCACAAAACUUGUAGAUCGAACGAGCUUCCGUGCCACUUU